UCAUUGGUGCAUUUCCUGCUAGUCCCACCUCCCCUCCCCCUCUCUUCGCUGCUCUCGCGAGAGAAGGGCGGGAAGCUGCCAUCUUGGCUUCCGGUUUUUCCACCCGUCUUGUGGCACAGUGGUUUGGGCGGCGACACGCGAGGCCCGGCCUUGUAGUUGAAUAGAAGGAACAGGGCGGAAACUGCGGCUGGGCUACCACGUGCCUGACUCCCGCGGUGUGGCGUGAGCUGGAGCUCGCUAGUCCUCACGCUCGGGAGCCCGAACUCCGCCCUUGGGACUUUGAGUGGGGUGUGCACCGGAUGAUGUGUUGAGGGGCCAAGUCGUGAGAACACCCUCUUGGAAGGCAGAGAUGUCAGGAGUAGACCUUCCAGCAAUCCCCAGUACCAUCAAAGCGAUAUUUGCUUUGGAUCUUUAACUCCACUGCCUUCAAACUCACCAUACUUAUUCUCAGCCAACUUUUAUCGUCUUUCCCUUACCCUACAUUUUAAUAAGUUGGGUCAGUUAAGUGGUCUCAUCUGUUGGCUGGGUUAGAAUCAGAACUAUGCUAAGAAUCAUAUUGGAAUGUACAGUUAAGAGGAUUGAAUCGAUUUAACGGCCUUGA